UACAGCAACAAUAUAAUUGAAAUUAUUUCAAAUUAAGGGCUUGUUGGCGCAAAUUUAUACACUGCUCCACUUACAAGUGUUUAUUUAUUUAUAUUGCAGUUUUAUUUAUGUUUGUUAAAAUUGGAACAUAGUUUUACUACUUGUCGCUCUUUACAAAAGAGCCAAAAAGAGCGUUGGUUGUCUUUGGUUGUCUUCAAUAAAAGCAGAAUCAGUGAAUACAGAUGUAAAAGACUAUAAUUUUAUUUAUUUCUCUAUUUUGUAUCAUUUUUCAUAUAAAUUCAGUGUAUUAUUUGUAAUUCUAAAUUUAGAAGUAAGAAAAAUCGUAUUUUUGUUGAUGUAUCUUAAAUUCGACACCUUUCACUGUACAUAACCUCAAUAUCGUGACUUUACUAUUGCAAACAUUUUGAAGAAAUGUAAUUAAUAAUACUUCUAUUAACUGUUGAUUGUAAAAUUAGAAUUUCUUAAGCAAACUAAUUAAGAUGCAAUGAUUUCUCGUUGCUUCUAAAAAUUAGUUUGCAAUAGUAAAAUGAUGAUUUUUGAGGUAUAAUUUGGCCUAAUUUGUAAAGAAUGGAAGCAACAUUUAUAGAAGUGUCAGUAUCAUGGACUGUGGAUUUACCAAAAGAUUUUUAAUAUUAAUCAGAAGCUAAAUUUUUAAAAUGUAUAUUUAAUAACAUUUCUGCUUAAUAAAUGAUGUUCAAACGAA